rnacentral:rRNA from 1 species
CCUACGGGCGUCUGCAGUGAGGAAUAUUGGUCAAUGGCCGGAAGGCUGAACCAGCCAAGCCGCGUGAGGGAGGAAGGCGCAGAGCGUCGCAGACCUCUUUUGCCGGGGGACAAAAGGCCGGACUCGUCCGGUCCUGAGGGUACCCGGAGAAAAAGCAUCGGCUAACUCCGUGCCAGCAGCCGUGGUAAGACGGAGGGGGCAAGCGUUAUCCGGAUUUACUGGGGGUAAAGGGAGGGUAGACGGCAGCGCAAGUCUGAAGUGAAAUGCCGGGGCUUAACCCCGGAACUGCUUUUGAAACUGUGCAGCUAGAGUGCAGGAGAGGUAAGUGGAAUUCCUAGGGUAGCGGUGAAAUGCGUAGAUAUUAGGCGGAACACCAGUGGCGAAGGCGGCUUACUGGACUGUAACUGACGUUGAGGCUCGAAAGCGUGGGGAGCAAACAGGAUUAGAUACCCGAGUAGUC